AGGCCCUCUGGGUUGUAAACUCCUUUUAUCUGGGAAGAAAUGCAUUUUUUCUAAAGUGNUUGACGGUACCAGAGGAAUAAGCACCGGCUAACUCCGUGCCAGCAGCCGCGGUAAUACGGAGGGUGCAAGCGUUAUCCGGAUUCACUGGGUUUAAAGGGUGCGUAGGCGGGCAGGUAAGUCCGUGGUGAAAUCUCUGAGCUUAACUCAGAAACUGCCAUGGAUACUAUUUGUCUUGAAUGUUGUGGAGGUAAGCGGAAUAUGUCAUGUAGCGGUGAAAUGCUUAGAUAUGACAUAGAACACCAAUUGCGAAGGCAGCUUACUACACAAAUAUUGACGCUGAGGCACGAAAGCGUGGGGAUCAAACAGGAUUAGAUACCCUGGUAGUCCACGCCCUAAACGAUGAUUACUCGACAUCAGCGAUACACUGUUGGUGUCUGAGCGAAAGCAUUAAGUAAUCCACCUGGGAAGUACGAUCGCAAGAUUGAAACUCAAAGG
rnacentral:rRNA from 1 species